GAAAAGCCAACAGAAAGCUUGCUGGAAGAUAAAAGAACACACGUGGAAGUGGCUGCAAAUCCAGUUCACCAUUCAGCUCACCUGGGACAUCCUGGCACCAGUCUGGUUCUGAACAGAAGUCCAGUAGGAAGCAUCCCCAGCUCACCCAUAGGAGCAGAACCAUUGAUGAACAGGAUUUCCUCUUCUGCAGUCAGGUACAAGUGGGAACUGGAUGAAUUUGUCUCUGAAGAACCUGGACAUGGUAAUGUGUCAUGGUAGAACACUGAUGAACUUGAAACUACAUCUUUGGGAGCUUAUUCCAUACCUUGUGAUGGAUCAGAAGAGAUGAAAAUAUGUUUCUGUCAGUCUGAAUAAAUGUUCUGAGUCUCUUGGAUGGAUGACAGCCCUGGUGCCCUUCCCUGGUGGUUUUUUGAUGCGUAGUCC